ensembl:lncRNA
GAGCAGUCGGUGCAGAGCGACGGCGCCGAGAGGACGUGGAGAGCGGAGGAGAGGAGAGCAAAGCCAGAAAGUGACCGAGGAGCAAUCCCACAGCGUGCCUGGGGGUCGUUCCACUUCCAGCUCCAGCUGCCGGCAGUGAGCGGUAGGCAGAAGUCGUGCGGCGUGCCUGGGGCCAGGCCUGGCCUCCCCUCAGUGCUGUGCCUGCGCGUGGCUGCGAUGGGUGGCAGAGAGCGUGGCCGUGGCCGUGUCCAUAUCUGUGUCUGUGUCCGUGUGUGAUCCUGUGUCCGUGCCUCUGUCUGUGCGUGUGCUUUGUGUGCCCUCCCAAAUGGGAGCCCCAGUCCCCCUGGACGGGAGCUCCGCUUCCCCUUCUGGGACCCCAGACCCCUUUUGGGACCCUUCAAAUCCCCUAUGGGACCCUCAGUUCCACCCCCCAGGACCCCAGCCAGCCUUUGGGACCCCCCCAGUUCUGCCACGGGACCCCUCAGUUCCCCUCCCCCGGACCCCAGACCCCAUUGCUGGGGCAGGGCGCUGCCCACAGCGGGGCCCGUGCCUCGCCGUGCCCACGGCCGUGCCCCUCACACCGCUCGGAUGUUGCUGUGCCUGCAGGCGAAGCCAUGGCGGAGGAGUUGCGGGAGUCACUGCUGGCAGCCACAGCUCAAUUGGCCGCAAGGCGGCAGGAGGUGAUGGAGAUCAGGAGGAGGCGUGUGCAGCUGGAGCAGGCCAAAUGGGAACAAACAGAAAUCAACGAGGUACUGAGGGUAGGAGGGGAGGGGAGGGGAGAGAAGGGAGGGGGGAGGGGAGGGGAGGGGAGGGCAGCCCCCUCCGAGCAGGCCCGGCGCAGGCUCUUGACCGGACCCUUUCCUUCUCCAGGCCCUGCUGCAGGAAAUUGAGGAGCUCCGAGCGGCUCAGCGGAGCCGC